GGGGACAUCACCAGCUUUUUCUUUUUUUGUUGUUGUUUUUUUGGUCUUUUUAGGGCUGCACUCACAGCAUAUGGGGGUUCCCAGGCUAGGGGUUGCAUCGGAGCUGCUGGCCUAUGCCACAGCCACUGCAACACAGGAUCUGAGCCGCAUCUUCAACCUACACCACAGUUCAUGGCAACACCAGAUCCUUAACCCACUGAGCGAGGCCAGGGAUCGAACCCGCAACCUCAUGGGUACUAGUCAGAUUCGUUUCCACUGAGCCACGACAGGAACUCUGACAUCACCAGCUUUGGUGUCCCCAUUCCCAGAGGGCACUGGAGAAGGUGGCCAAGCGUGCUAGGGAGGCUUCAGACCCUGUCCCUCUGCCAACUUUCCCUUCCUCUCCUCCCCUAACCCCCAGCUUCUAGGGUUUUCCCCACCCGGGGGAGGGAGGCUGUGCUUAUACAAGGUCAGUGCUCCUGGGGUUCCAGUCCCUCUACCUCUCUAGUCCUGCUUCCCUGGAGUCCCACCCACCUCUGGCCAGGGUGUUCUCAACCCCCUGAUGGCUCCACCCUGAGUGGGAACCCAGCAGCCACAAAGCUGAGGGAAGCAAGCCAGGGCCACCCACAACCCAGAUGGAGCAGGCCCUGCAGGGCAGAGGCUGGGGGCCUGUGAGCCGUGUGAGUGUGUGAGCGCUGGGGCACUGCAGGAUCAGAUGUGUACACCCGGACCCAGUCACCAGACAGGGGUCUGGUAGGUGUUCCCAGUAGAUACAGACAACCGUGUGCAAACCCAGUGCCACACAGUAACUCACAUACUCGGGCAGUCCCCCCCGCCCAUGAAUAGGGUUCUGGUCCAGUUCAGCAAUUCGCUAGAUGUGUACCUCUGAGAAAAUUAUUUAGCUUCUUUGUUCCUUCAUUUUCCCAUCCGUAAAAUGAGGGCAAUGGCGACGUUCUCCCUUCAUGGAUCUGCUGCGAGGACUGAAUGAUAAUUAGCCGCAAACGCCUGGAAUAGGGCCCGACACACAGCAGACGGUCAGUAAUUGCUGCCAGGGGUAGGUAUGGACACAGACUUCACUCACACUGUCUGAAAAAUCAUAUGGCUCCCUUGACCGUAAUUCAAAGACAGACGGAUUUGGGACUGUUAGAGGGUGUCAUAAUUUUAGCAUAGGGCUCUUUCACCUUAAAAUAACUCUUGGGUCCAUGUCUGCCCAGAGGCAGAUGGACCCCUGUGAUGUCUGGGAGUCUCUGGUCCUCCCCGGGGGUCUCAAGGAAGCCAUCAUCCAAGCCCCUCCACACUUUACCUGCAGCCCCUCUUCUCACAUUUUAGAGGUACCAGGUACUUGCUCCCAGACCCCAGUUCCCAGCCCAGCUUUCCCAGGCUUUGGGAAAGCUUCUCCAAGAACAGAAAGAUAUUUGGCAGGGGAACACCAGCUCCAUUUCUCAAGAAUAGUGGUGCCCACACAUCACUCCUCCCUCUGCCCCAGCCCGUGGGCUUCCCUCCCCGUCAGCCCCUGAGCCCUCAUGCCUUGAGAUGUCAUUGCCCACUAGAGCCUCUCCAGAAGUGGGGUCACCCCUCCCUACCGUCCCUGAGCUGACUCUUCAGAUUCUGGGGGUCUUGACCAGGGCACAAGGCAACCAGCUGGCCAGACCCCACGGUAAGAGACCUGCUGAGCUCCGCCCUGUGCUCUAGUUCACACACAUUCUUCCUCACCCUUGGGUCUCUGGACCGCCCUCUGGUCCCUGAAUAGUCUCUGUGAGCUUUAGGCAAUCCUCUGGGCUCCUGAGUGGAUCCCCACUUUACAGAUGAAGAAGCUGAGACUCAGAAAGGGCAAGUGUUUGCCUGAGGCCGGGCAGAGAGAGAGGACAGAGCCAGUACUCCCCUAAGUCUGUGGGCCUUCAACGUGCAUGCCCUUCUCCCUCAAGAAUGUGCCUUUCCAGCUGCUGGAGUUGAGGUCUGAGGGGCUGAUAUAGCCGGAGGACCUGGAAUUCUGAUAGGUAGCACGGCCAGCAAGGGAGGCCCAAAGGGAGCAGUUUUGCAAGCGCUCAGGCGGCACAGCCCACAGGCAGAUGAUGGGGCCUAGCCCUGCUCCUACUCAGAUGCCUGCCUGGGGCGCCCUCUGUCCUUUGGGCCUAGACUCAGAACACUGUGGUGGCUCAGCAUGCACAAUGCUCCCCCAGCCUGACCGCAGGGCCUCACCCCCACUGACCAUAGUGGGGGAGCUACAGGGAAAGGGGCUGGGUUGAGUCUCUCUACCCAUGAGGGGUCAGCAUCCAGGCCAUCCUUCCCUCUAGUCUCCAGGCCUCACGAACCCCCAGCAUCAUCUAAGGCCCCAAGGAAGUGAAAACUGUGAGCCAGACCAUGACUCCUCUUAGAAGAGGUAGGCGGGGGGUGGGGUGGGGUGGGGUGGCAUGGGGACGUUCGGGCCUCCUUGGAGACCAGGCAGCCAGCCCUCAGAGCAGACGCAGAAUCAACACAUGAGGUCUCGGGGCAGCAAGGUAGACCAGGCGUGUGGGUGGUCAGAGUCCCAUCAACCCUGCCUGGUCCACGCACAUACUUCUGUGUGGAAGUUGACGGAUGAGGCAGAGCCAGGGCAGGCCCCAGAGCUAGUGCCCGGCCUCGGCCAGGACCAUCCCCUGUGGUGGGAGCUGCCUAAGGUCACCACCCUGAGGGCCGGGAGGAAUCUGACUUGCAGUAUGACUGGGACAGGCCCCUGUCAGGCUCUCUGUGACCCUUCUCCCACAAUAUGGGUGAGGCUUCUGGCCCUUCCCACCCUCCCAGAGCCCCACCCACACCUUGGUCCCCACAACCUCCAUUCCUGCGGGGCUGCUCCCCAGCCCCCAUGUGGCCGGGUCUGGGCUUGGAGAGUGGCACUAGAAACGCCAGGCCAGAGUUCUGGGAAAGAGCAGCAAGAGAGUCCGAAGGUAGGUGGCCUCAGGACCUCUGAAGCCAGGGUAGGGACUACACUGUGUUAGGUCCCCCUGAAAAAGGUGGGUCAUGGGAAUUCCUCCCUUGUCUCCGAAUUCAAUCAGACAUUCUGCAAGGUCAGGUCUGAGCUUCUCAUUCUGCUACCGCAGUCCAAGGUCACUUCCAGGCCAUUUGGUAAGCCCUGCUGUGGGCAGCCAGGGCAUCUGGGAGUCCAACUCUGGCCUGAGUAUCUCCAGGAGCUCAGGUCAGUCCUUCCCUCUCAGAGGAGACUCGGGCGCUCUUUCUCCGCAGUAAGCCUAGGCAGGCUGGUCUCAUGCAAGAAGCUGCAGGGGUCUGGCUCCAUCCUGUGGCAGAGUGGCACAUUCAGAAAGGCACCCUGGAAGGGGAUGAGCUGAAUUUUGGAGGAUAACUAGGAGUUCACCUGGUUGACAAUGCAGGGAAGGGCAUUCCAUGUAGAGGGAACAGCAUAAGCAAAGGCCACAUCCUUUGUUCUCCCACUUGCAAUAAUCUGCCUUCACCUGUGCAACACAACUCACACUUGUAGCAGGGCCUUGGCCAAGUCAGUUCUCCAUUCUUGGUCUCAGUUUCCUGAUCUAUAAAAUAGGAAUACUGAUAAUGAUGGCACCAAUGACAACAAUAAAGAUAUUUAUAAAGAGCCUUAGCUGGGCCAGAUCUGAGAUUCUGGUGUGUAGCACUAGGUGACCCCUCUCCUGAGACCCCAAGCAUCCUCUGCUUCUGGGGGGGAGACCAAGUCUCCAUCUAGUCCACUAUUUGACUUUAGACAUAAGUAGAUGUGUCUGGCAAAUGCGGUGGGUUGGCAUUAGAGGCCAGGUCACAGGGUAAAGCCAAGGUCCUGGAGAGAAGGGGCCUGAGCUUGGAGGCAGCUCAGCAGCUGGGUCUGGGGUGAAGACAGAGAGCCUGGUUCUGGGCCCAGCAGCGUCCUGACCUGACCUCCCACCCAUGGGAGGGGGCAGAUAGGACCGCCCAGGCGGGGCUCAGUCACAUCCUCAUCCAUAGCUGCUUCCUCAAUUCAGUGCAGCCUCACACAGCUGUGGACGCGACAGCAACCCCUGAGGGCCCCUGCACGCCUCAAGGGCUCUCAAACUUACUUCCUGGUAACUGGAAUGUGACUCAGUCCCCAGAGACACUCCCUGGGGGUACCCCUCAGGCUGUGGAGGUCAUAGACCCUUUUCUCCUGUCCGUCUGCGGCCAGCAUUGCUUCCUUACACCAUGACUGAAGGCUACCUUCAAAACAAGUCGUAUUUUCUGAUUCCUAGCCCUUCCCCCCACAUAGAAUCUCAUCCUUUUUUCCUGUCCAGUGUUUCAGCAGCCCACUCCUGCCGUCAGGAGUGGUCUGCAGCUCUGCGCUUUGCCCGGGUUCACAUUCUUUCAAGAGUUACUCCUCCCGGAAAAUUCCCCCCCAACCUUUAUUUUUCCUUUUUUAGUAAACGUUUAUGUUGAAGCCUAAUGUAUGUACAAAGACUACACACAUCCAAAGUAUACACUUUCACAAAGUGAACACAGCAGUGUGUAACCAGCACUUGGGCUCAAGAAACAGAACAUUGUUAGCCCCUAAAACCAGCCCCACUCCUGCCUUUUCCAGUCACUGCCACCCAAAAUUCACCCUUGUACUGACUCCCAUGGCAUAGAUGCAGUUUACCUGCUUAAUGGAAUCACAGACUGUAUGAGUCAGUGAAAUGGUCUAAAAGUGGGGUUACACUGUAUAAACUGUUUGUGUCAGGCUACUGUCACUCAACAUCAUGUCUAAUAUGCAUGCAAGGAGCUGUGGCUUGUUCAGUCUCACUGGUGCAGAGUCUCUCACUGUGUGCAUUACCCCAUGCCUCCCCCUCCUCCUAACGGGCAUUCGGGUAGUUUCCAGGUUGGGACUGUUAUGAAUGGUAUUGAUAGGAAAUUUCUAACCCCAUGUCUUCUGGUGAACAUAGGGACACAUUCCAUUCAGUAUAUGGCCCCCAGGGGAAUUAGUGAAGUGACAUGGAAUUGCUGAGUCACUGUGUUGUAGUUUUGCAACUUGUCACUGAAGCAGCUUGGGUGGCUACUGUGUAGCAGGUUUGAUGCCUGGCCCAAGAACUUCCACAUGCUAUGGGUGUGCCCCCACCCAAAAGAAACCCCAUACACUUACCUAUCAGUCCUCUUUUCUGCCCCACCCCCAGCCCUAAAAAACCAUUAAUCUACUUCCUGUCUUUACUGGUUUCCCUAUUCUCCCAUUUCAUAGUCAUAGAAUCAUGUGAUAUGUAGUCAUUUGUGUACUAGCUUCUUUCAUUUAGUACAGUUGUUUUCAAGGUUCAUCCAUGUUGUAGUGUGUAUCAAUAUUUCAUUCUUUUUGGCCAAAUAAUACUCCGUUAUGUGGAUAUGCCACAUUUUGUUUAUCCAUUUAUCAGUUCAUGAACAUUUGAGUUGUUUCUACCUGCAGCUCUUAUCAGUAAUGCUGCCGUAAACGUUAGUAUACAGGUUUUUGUGUGAACAUCUGUCUUUAUUUUUCUUGGAGAUAUGUAUAUGUAGAAUUGCUAGGUCGUAUGGUAACUUUUAGGUUUAAUCAUUUGAGGAACUGCCAGACUGUUUUCCAAAGUGGCGACAUCAUUGUACAUCCCCAUCAGAAGUCUAUGAGAAUUUAGAUUUCUC
ensembl:lncRNA